rnacentral:rRNA from 1 species
UGGGGAAUAUUGGACAAUGGGCGCAAGCCUGAUCCAGCCAUGCCGCGUGAGUGAUGACGGCCUUAGGGUUGUAAAGCUCUUUCGCACGCGACGAUAAUGACGGUAGCGUGAGAAGAAGCCCCGGCUAACUUCGUGCCAGCAGCCGCGGUAAUACGAAGGGGGCUAGCGUUGUUCGGAAUCACUGGGCGUAAAGGGUGCGUAGGCGGGAUCUUAAGUCAGGGGUGAAAUCCCGAGGCUCAACCUCGGAACUGCCUUUGAUACUGGGGUCCUUGAGUCCGGAAGAGGUGAGUGGAACUGCGAGUGUAGAGGUGAAAUUCGUAGAUAUUCGCAAGAACACCGGUGGCGAAGGCGGCUCACUGGUCCGGAACUGACGCUGAGGCACGACAGCGUGGGGAGCAAACA